CGUGUAGGCGGAUGGGAACGUCGGAUACUGAAAGCCCCCGGCUCAACCGGGGAAGUGGUGCCGAAACGACCUGUCUGGAGGGACGUAGGGGGAUCUGGAACUUCCGGUGGAGCGGUGAAAUGCGUUGAGAUCGGAAGGAACGCCCGUGGCGCAAGCGAGGUCCUGGACGUCUGCUGACGCUGAGACGCGAAAGCUAGGGGAGCAAACGGGAUUAGAUACCCCGGUAGUCCUAAGCCGUAAACGAUGGGCACUGGGUAGGGGCUCGCCGAUGGGCUCUCUGCCGUAGCGAAAGCGUGAAGUGCCCCGCCGUGGGGAGUAUGGUCGCAAGGCUGAA
rnacentral:rRNA from 1 species